UCUUUGACUUGAAGACCAGAUGUUUUCAGGAACUAAGGGAGGACUGACAGAUUUGGAUGAAAUAGUCUCAUAACCAUGGAUAGUACAGCGUCUGGGAAGGCCAUGCCACAGGGAUGCAGACUCUUUGCAACAAAAACCUGAAGCAUCUGACUGGAUCUCAAACCAUUUUGUUAACUGGUUUUCAGUUGUCCUCAGCCUUGAGCUAUGCAAGUAGACAUAACAGGAAUGCGGAGGAGAGAAGGUGAAGCUUUGUCAAGCUGCACUGCUAAUCCAGGGAAGAAAGGGGAAACCUCUUCUAUUGCUGCAGCUCAACUCUGCUGGUGACAUGCAAACUUCACCUUAACUUCUAGCCUUUUGCUAAGUGUGAGGCUCUUGGCUUUCAUUUCCUGAGCUUGCUUAUCCAUGGUCGUGGUCCCAGUGGUGGUGUUUCUGCUCUCAGCUGGCUGAGUGCUUGGAGCGCAGCCCUGGCCCCAGCCGUCAGCCAGCUAAAGUGGCAUUCCUCUUUCUGCUCCUUACCAAUGAUGGACCCUGCUUGCAGCACUGCAGCAAUUUGGCAAGAGAAGGCCAGGAUGAGAUAGGUCUGCGUGUUCCAGAAAGAACUGAAGGGGUUCAGGUUCGGUGCUGAAUUGGAUGUGGAAGAUACCUGUCCAGGGUACUGCCUGAGUGUUGGUGGAGAAGCUGCUGGUAGGGCUCUGCUGGGCUUUGGGAAGGG